rnacentral:rRNA from 1 species
GACGAACGCUGGCGGCGUGCUUAACACAUGCAAGUCGAACGGUAAGGCCCUUCGGGGUACACGAGUGGCGAACGGGUGAGUAACACGUGGGUGAUCUGCCCUGCACUCCGGGAUAAGCCUGGGAAACUGGGUCUAAUACCGGAUAGGACUCCUGGCUUCAUGGUUGGGGGUGGAAAGCUUUUGCGGUGUGGGAUGGGCCCGCGGCCUAUCAGCUUGUUGGUGGGGUAAUGGCCUACCAAGGCGACGACGGGUAGCCGGCCUGAGAGGGGGACCGGUCACACUGGGACUGAGAUACGGCCCAGACUCCUACGGGAGGCAGCAGUGGGGAAUAUUGCACAAUGGGCGCAAGCCUGAUUCAGCGACGCCGCGUGAGGGAUGACGGCCUUCGGGUUGUAAACCUCUUUCAGCUAUGACGAAGCGCAAGUGACGGUAGUAGCAGAAGAAGGACCGGCCAACUACGUGCCAGCCGCCGCCGUAA